rnacentral:lncRNA from 1 species
AAGACUUUAAGAGGAACUUCUAGUAAUUGGUGCAUUCGAAUACCGCUAAGUUUUCCAUCUACUAUCUGGUCAUGGGUCAAAUUCCGAAUGUUAAUUCUUGUUUUUGGACAAAAUGCCUUAUUCUUCAUUUCAUGUAUUCGAUUCCCUUCACUGGAUAUCUAAAUCUGUUCCCAAGCAGAGAGAUAGAGGGGUGCUAACUUGUUUCAUAUUUCUGUUGCCAAUAUCAUCUUUGUUUUUGUUCAGAUUGAUAUUUUCUCACCAAAGUUCACUAGCCUUCUAUUAUAUGAGUUACCAGAUGUCCACGAAAAAGUUAUGUACUUGUCAAGUUGAGUUGUUGCUGCUAGUAAGAGUUUUCAAUACCUGUAAUCACCAUAAUUGAUAUCCUUGUGGUUGUCUAUGUAUUAUCUCAUAUCCUGAUCUGGUGGUGUCGCUGUUCAGUUGCAAAUUUAGUCCUUGGUCUGGCUGCCAUCUGGAAAUUGUCUACUAUUCUGAAGGUGUGCAUGAUCCUAAUGAGUAGAGUUAAUAAAUAGAAACCUAAAUGAAAUACCCGGUGCAAACUACGUUCUUCAAUGUGGAAUUAAAAGAGGUAAUUGCUUCCCCUCAUGGGAGGUAAGCAGGUCAUGGGUGCCGAUGAGUGUCCAUUGGUUGCUCAAUUGUGAUAUUAGCAGUUCCCUAUGAUAAAAGAUGGAGCUCGAGUAUAUUCUUUGCAAUUCAUGAGGUAACUGUACAUGCUUUAGUAUCUAACUGAUUUGGAAGACGGGUUAGCAUGUCUGUGGAUUUUAUGAUUUCUGCUGCCAAUAUAUGUUGUUGCUUAAAUGUUAAUCGUUGUUAUACAGAAAACGGAGUCGUUCACUGUCCCCAAGGUGCCGCAAAAGUCGUUCUCCAGCCACCAGACAACAUAAAGUCGCUCUCCAAUGAACUAUAGGAGACAAAAAAGAAGUAGGAGUAUAUCAUUGUCUCCUAUUGGUAAAUCACCUGCUUCAAGUAUCGGAUCGAAAGAGCAAAAGGAUCUCAGUGAAAAAAUUAAAAUUGAGGAAGAGGAGAAGAAAAGGUAUAGCUGUAUACGUGAUCUUUUCAUUUUCUGCCCUUUCUAUCUCUUUCUUAUCUAGGAGUAAGCUAUGCUUUUAUUUUGAGAAUCUACUCUAGUUUUAAAGUUCUUUGAUAC